CUUCCAGACCAAUGUGGCCUCUUGCAAUUUGCAGGGCGGCAAUGAGUGCCAGGACCAGGUUUACUCGGUAGAAAGAGAUGCGUUCCAAGCAGAACAUUGCCCAUCCAGAUCGCUAAAAGCAAAAGAUAAUCUUUCAGAAGAAACAACACCGCUUGGAACAAUUAAAGACGUACUUGGCUCUAUAUCAAGAGCGCGAGGAAAUAAAUCGAAAUCGGAACUUAUGUACAACGUGGGAGAGAUAAGCCUGUCCCACUCAAAAAGUUCGACCUCGACACAAGUACAGUCAAUCUGGUGAAGAUCGAACAGUCUCCAUAGCGGUAAAGCAGAUUCGUCGAUUAAAUAAAACAAGGCAUGGGCUCUACAAACUAACGUCUAUGUUUCAUCUACUCCUAAAGAUAGCACCAACAUUUUUUUGGCACUUCUUUCAGUAUGGAAUAUAUUGAUAGGGGUUUCCACUCCAUUUCCCUCUCGACUGAACUUACCCUUUCUUUGUUUACCUUGACAAGCAAUCUCUUCUUACCUUGACAUCAAAAUUAAGAAAGCCGAAUAGUAGUGCGAUCUAGAAUAUAAUGAAAAACUGUGCGUCGCGCACAGGGUCGGGAACCAUGAAGUUUCCUGGAGAAUUAAUGAUUAAUAAUUAAGUUUUAAUAUUUUUUAGUCUGCCAAAGAAAUAUGAAUUUAAAAGACCAUUAGUAUGAACUAUUUAUAUAACAAAAGCCGGCUUAAAUCCAAGCAUUGAAAAGUCCCCGAUAUGUAAGGUUGGUCAGUUAAUGCUGAUAGUACUGGACGCGGGCCCGGCCAUGUUAGCGUCUGUUUAUCCUAGUGAAAUAAAGCAAGAUUUUAGGGUACAAUUGGUUAAGUGAAUUUGUAUCAUCUUCAAAAACCCGAAGAGUUUUUCUUACAAAGAAUUCCCACGUCUAACUAUAUUGGUAUUAAUAUGUAAACUGAUUUGACGCUCUACUACGAGGCCUAUGAAUGUCUGAAAGAUAAAAUGAAAUGCAAUGAUGCACAACAUUUUGCGUACUUGGGCUUUACAUUGGCUUCAUUUGAAGAUUGUAGUAAUGCAACAAUAUCUUAUUACAACUUGAAUUUCCUUUUAUCUCUGUCUAUGAAUACUUGAUACGAUCAUGCUUUAUAUACUAUAAUAAUUACAAAAAAAAAAUGAUGUAAUUGACGACUUCUCAACGGUAACUAUAAAAGAUGAUGUAAAUUUCAUUCAGUUUGUCAGUUAAGCUGCAGACGCGAGGGUCAACCAUAAGACGUGUAAAACUCAAUUGGAAUAUUUGUGUGCACCCAUUAUAGUUGGGAUUUUUUAGAUCAGCAGUUAUUGCUAUACAGCCGUAUUAAUAAAUCUUCUACUGGCCUACUAAGUCCCAACAUAAUGAGAGUAAAAACCACUGGCUUAACAAUAAGACUAUGUUAAAAUGAGUGAAGUGCAAUUAGAUAUAUGUAUGUAUGUAUUUAUGUAUAAAGCGCGUUCUUGCUCCCAACUGGUCCCAUUGACCGAGUCCCGAGUCGAUGUAACCAUGGCUGUCUGUCUAUUAGCAGCAGAAAUAACAGGAGGAGCACCCAAAAACCCAAGGAGAGAUACUCCGGCAAAAUGGAAGCACUAAGGCCAAGCCAUUUGCCAAACAGAGCUGCUGCAGUUUUUAAGGGUUUCCAAAGAGUAAAGUUUAUUCUAAAUUUUUUUGAGUCGACAC
rnacentral:sRNA from 1 species